CGGGGCGUGGCGCAGCUUGGUAGCGCACCUGAAUGGGGUUCAGGGGGUCGGAGGUUCGAAUCCUCUCGCCCCGACCA
rnacentral:tRNA from 1 species